rnacentral:rRNA from 1 species
AGUGAACGCUGGCGGUAGGCCUAACACAUGCAAGUCGAACGGCAGCACAGUAAGAGCUUGCUCUUACGGGUGGCGAGUGGCGGACGGGUGAGGAAUACAUCGGAAUCUACUUUGUCGUGGGGGAUAACGUAGGGAAACUUACGCUAAUACCGCAUACGACCUACGGGUGAAAGCAGGGGAUCUUCGGACCUUGCGCGAUUGAAUGAGCCGAUGUCGCAUUAGCUAGGUGGGGGGGUAAAGGCACACCAAGGCGACGAUGCGUAGCUGACCUGAGAGGAUGCUCGGCCACACUGGAACUGAGACACGGUCCAGACUCCUACGGGAGGCAGCAGUCGGGAAUCUUCCGCAAUGGGCGAAAGCCUGACGGAGCAAUGCCGCGGGAGUGAAGAAGGUCUUCGGAUCGUAAAACUCUGUUAUUAGGGAAGAACAAAUGUGUAAGUAACUAUGCACGUCUUGACGGUACCUAAUCAGAAAGCCACGGCUAACUACGUG